UCAGCCGUGAGCAGGAGACGGCACAGACCAGGAGGAUGGCUUGAGAAGCAACGCAGGGCCGCUUGGCGGAGGGAGAGCAGCUGGGAGCCGAGGGAGCAGAAGGUGGCUCGGGACGCGGAACCAGAGACUCCGCCCACUCCAGGGAGGGCCAGACGGCCCAGCCCAGGGGCUCCGGCCUGCCCUCCGUCCCCACCACCCUGCUGGACGCUGUGGAGGGAGGUGUCCCGGCAUCCUGGCAGUGAGGAUGGUGGCUAAGACCCUCAGACUUGGAGUCUCACGGCCCCAGGUUCAAACCCAGCCCCUGCCACUUGCCAGCUGGAGAGCCGGACAACGGACUUCGCCUCUCUGAGCUUCUGUUUCCUCCUCCAAAAAAGGGGGGAUGAUAAGAACCUUUUCUCAGGGAGCUAUUAUGAGGUUCAGGGAGCUUUUGUGUGAAGCGCAAAGCAAGCACACCAAGAACACUGACGCUGGAAGGUGGCACGCAGAGGGUUUGAUCCUGGCCGUGCCUUGAAUCUGCUCACUAAUGCCGGGGACCUUGGACUUCAGGAAAAGUAAAUAUAACAAGAGGCAACAACCACCACCACUGUACCACUAAUCACCAUCUGGAACUGCUGGGUAUGGUCGAACAGGCUGUGCACUGCCCAAGUGCACUGCGUACCCAGCCUAUGACAAAUAUGGCGCCCCCUGGAGUUGGACAAUGCCGUGCCGCCGCUGCCACCUAACACUGACCAAAUGCCUGCUGUGAGUGCCUUGUGCCAUUUAAUCCCCCAACGAGGAAGGUACGAUACUCCCAAUUUUACAGCUACAGAAUACGCAGGCCUGGCAUUCCCAGGGCAUAUGGGUGGCCAGUGAAGAGAAGCCUGGUUCUUGGAAUAACAACAAACACAAUUAGGGACCAGGGCCCUUGAAGCUUUUCUGGAAACGAGAUGGCUCAGGCCCAGCUGCCCUCAGGCAGCCCUUGAAAUGCCAGAGAGUUCAAGAGGCCUGCCAGGCGGGCAGCUCCCACGGCCCCUUUCAGGGUGGUGAAACGGGGCUGUCAGAGCCUUCAGUCACUCAGAGCCGCGAUGCCAAGACUCCGACAUGAUGCAUUAGCCACAGGUCAGUAUUUAAAUUUAAAUUAAGUAAAACGGGGACCUCCCUGGUGGCGCAGUGGUUAAGAAUCCACCUGCCAAUGCAGGGGACACGGGUUCGAGCCCUGGUUCGGGAAGAUCCCACAUGCCGCGGAGCAACUAAGCCCGUGCGCCACAACUAUUGAGCCUGCACUCAAGAGCCUGCGAGCCAUAACUACUGAGCCCAUGCUCCACAACAAGAGAAGCCACCGCAGUGAGAAGCCCACGCACCUCAACGAAGAGUAGCCCGCGCUCGCCGCAACUAGAGAAAGCCGGUGUGCAGCAACGAAGACCCAACGC